rnacentral:tRNA from 1 species
GCCUGGGUAGCUCUGUGGUUGAGCACCUGCCUUUGGAGCAGGUCAUGAUCCCAAGGUCCUGAGAUCGAGUCCCACAUCAGGCU